rnacentral:lncRNA from 1 species
CUAGAUUCCGUGAAAUGUGCUCUAGUUUGUACUCGUUUUGUGUAAAAAAUACAGUUUCUGAUGCACCACAAACUGAUAUAUACAAGCUAAAAAUCACAUAUUAUGAUCAUCUUGCUUCAUAAUGUAGAGUUUGAAUAGGAUAAAACGGGUACAAAAGUGAUAAUAUUCCAUAUAAUCUCGAAGAUUCCACUAAAUUUGAGGAGUUGAGGGGGUA